GAGUAGCAGACAAGUAUAUUGGGGAGCCCUUGGAUCGCCGUCAUCGCAGCCGUUCCUGUCAGUCUCUGUUACUGUUUCUGUGUAAUUAGGCAAUGGCGUGCAGGCCUACUUCUCCUACCGAGUAACCACCAAGGAUCGAUAAUGAGAGGCCUCCUCAAGGUGGAGAACCCUCAAUGCACAAUGUCGAUUGGAGAGUCAAUUGCUGCCAGAUUCACGUGAAAUAAUAGUCAAAAGUAUAUAUCAAGGCAGAAGCACCUGUUGGCUGCUCCCACUCGCACUUGUGCUACUCCCUCUUUUUUUCCUAGUUUUGAUACUGGAUUUUUGGAUGUGAGAACUCUAGCUGGAGAACAAGAGAAUUGUGAUUUUGCUUACAACUAUCUUAGUGGUACAAUACUAAAG